rnacentral:lncRNA from 1 species
AUGGGCCACAGUCUUUCCAAAAUCCUUGACUUCCACAAAACAGGCCCAGGAGGUUUUGGUUCCAGGAGGUGGAGAGCAAGGCCCUGCUCAGCUGACGCCGCCUCCCGCUUGCCCUGCUUUUGUCUGGAGAGGAGUUUGAACGGCUGGUCUCACACAGGAAGAGCCCAUCGCGAAGAGAAUGUUACGAUCUACCGCCAAAGUCAGCCAGAGAAUCUCCACGACUGCGUCCUGCUCGGAAGGGCAGGGAACGUCAGGGUAAUAGCUGCAGGUUCGAUGGGCAGCUGUGGGGACGAGGACUUCCGAUUCUAUGACUUGCCUUGGGGAGGCGGACUCCGGUGUCUACAGUUUGCUUCAGGGAGAAGGACAGAUGAGAAACGGGAGGCCAGGGAAAAGUCCUUACUGUCAACGGUACGCCAGGCACUUGGCAAGACACAUGUGUCACCUGCCUCACGGAGCAUGCAGUGUAGCUGGGAAGUCAGCCAGCAAUCACAACUGUCUCUAGGAUGUGCCAUGACAAAGGGUCUGGCUUGGAACUCGAGAUCCUCCCUUGGGCAGGUGGCUGGGACCACAAGCAUGCACCACCAUGCCAACUUCAUCCAACACGUAAAUAUAUUUAUUUAUUUAGCACCUACUAUAUGCUAGCAGUGUUCUAGGUACUGAGGACAUAGCAAUGAGAAGGCAGAGUCCCUGCUGUGAUGUUUAUCUUAUGGAGGAAGAAAAUAAGGAAAACAGACAGUCUUGGGCAGUGACGAACAGCAAGAACGUAAGAGUGUGCUGUUAGGAGUAAAGGCCUUGGGCAGCCCAGUCUAGGUAGAGCGAGUGGGUCACAUGAUCGCUAAUGCUAGGACAAGCCGGGGGUGGAAAGCUCCAGGCUGGGAGAGAUCCCGCCCACACGACAAGAAAGGCAAGGACUUUGAGGCAGAAACACAGUGGCAGUUCCAUGGACAGAAAGACCAGGGGAAGGCCUGAUCAUGUGUGCCAGGAGAACGUUUUGAUUUUAUUCUAAUUGCAGCUGGAAGCUUGAUUUAUAUUGUUUGCCUUUUUUGCAGUGCUGGGGAUGGAACCCAGGACCUCCUGCCUGGUAGGCAUGAGCUCUACCGAUGAGCUGCAUCCCUAGCAUGACAGGAUUUAAAGGACCGUGCUGAUUUCUCUGAGAGAAGAUGAAACCUACU